AUACGUAGGUGGCAAGCGUUGUCCGGAAUUAUUGGGCGUAAAGCGCAUGUAGGCGGUGCCUUAAGUCUGUCGUGAAACUGCGGGGCCUAACCCCGUAUGGCGAUGGAAACUGUGGCACUUGAGUGCAGGAGAGGAAAGGGGAACUCCCAGUGUAGCGGUGAAAUGCGUAGAUAUUGGGAAGAACACCGGUGGCGAAGGCGCCUUUCUGGACUGUGUCUGACGCUGAGAUGCGAAAGCCAGGGUAGCGAACGGGAUUAGAUGCCCCGGUAGUCCUGGCCGUAAACGAUGGGUACUAGGUGUGGGAGGUAUCGACCCCUUCCGUGCCGGAGUUAACGCAAUAAGUACCCCGCCUGGGGAGUACGGCCGCAAGGCUUAAACUCAAAUGAAUUGACGGGG
rnacentral:rRNA from 1 species